rnacentral:rRNA from 1 species
GACGAACCGUGCGAACGUUGUUCGGAAUCACUGGGCUUAAAGGGCGCGUAGGCGGGCCGCCAAGUCAGGGGUGAAAUCCUCCAGCUCAACUGGAGAACUGCUUUUGAUACUGGCGGUCUAGAGUGGGGUAGGGGCAUGCGGAACAAUGGGUGGAGCGGUGAAAUGCGUUGAUAUCCAUUGGAACUCCGGUGGCGAAAGCGGCGUGCUGGACCUCAACUGACGCUGAGUGAGCGAAAGCCAGGGGGAGCAACGGG